ACACCACCAAAUCAGUUUUUCCAACACCAGCCAGACACCCAUAUGCUCAUACAGAUUCAGACACAAGAUAAAGACACAUUUCCCUUCGCAAUCUAAGCACAUAUACAAAUGAAGUACUCACACAUAUGACCAGUCUUGAUUAAUCAAUUGGCUAAAACAAUUUUUUACAGCCCGGCUCCUCCUGGGGCGUUAUCUGAGACGGUAUGUGGUCUGCAUAAAUCAUAAAUCAGGCCAAUCUGAUGAUUGCAGCAGUGAUAGCUUCUGCUUUUGCACCGCCUCUGCCUGGCAUAAUGUUAUUUCCCACCCCUGAAAUGCAUAAUAACAGUAAUGACAAUAAUAAUAUGCAUGUCAAGCCCAGCUCAUAAAUAUCAGGAUCAAUCUGGCUUGAAAGAGGGUACAUAUGGAUAAAAAGCAACUUAAAUGGAGGCCAAGUAGGUGUCUGUCACUGUAUGCAAAGAAAGAGCAGUACAAAUAGACAUGUUUCUCCUCAAAAGAGCAGUGUGACCCCUUACUUACGCACUCUGCAGAUUUGUAUGUGUCCCUGUGUGUGUUUGUGCAUCCUCCCAUCGUGCAUGAGUGAUGGCUUCAAGCAAAUGUGACCCCCACACAUCACCCCUCCAUGCAUAUAAAAACAGGCUACUGCUUUAAUAUCCUCAUUUAAUGACUAGCCCCAGCGAAAGACCAUUAACGUAAUGACAUCACACAGGCCCUCUCGCACACACACACACACAAAGAAGCGCACAUAUAACACAAAUAAAAGCAUGCGAACCCUACAUGGUGACAGUGUCUUCUUUCUCUAAUGAACAAUGAAUUAACAGCAGAGGUGAAGUGUUUUUCAUUAUUUUGCUUGUCUGAGUGCAGCUAUGUCUUCAUUUUAGACCUAAUAGGGGAUCUUUGUGUGACUGCUUGUCUUAAGGUGUAAAACAAUAUCACGAGUGUGUGUGUUGGAAACAAGUGUGUGACGGCGGCACAGUUGGGGGUUGCGGUUUCAUCUUACUAAUUCAAGGACAGUUCCUAAUCAUGCAGAGUGAAUACAUGGAGACGUUACUGGAACAUAUGCAUUAACCUCUUGCAUAUUUACGUCAGGGACACACACACGUACACCAAUGCGAGCGUGCACGAGCAUGCCGACUACACACAGGCAAUUUGUAAUAUUGAAUAGCUGACACAGUAAGAUUUCAUAAUCUAUCGACAGUGUCACAGCACAGUCAUGCAAGGUGGUGGAGCUAUUGAUAAACACAGUAUUGGCCUGUCAUCUGUGCUCCUUAAUCUGGGCUGAUGUAACUUAGUGCAAACGGCGAAUCCAAGGCCACGGUGACAUCACAGCACCCGCGGGGGCCGAGGACUCCCUACAGCAGGGCUUUUCCUCUCAGAGCAGAGUUUGAGAACUUAUCACCACAUGUCAAAAACACAAACAAUCAAACACAUAUGAAGUUUGUUAAAUUGUUUUUAAUACAAACAGAACAUAUUUUAAACUGCUAGAUAGAUAUGGCAUUCAGGAUUUCUUAUAAAUAUCAUAAAUCAAAUCGAAAAUUAUCAUCUUCAUUGAUAAAAAACAAACAAAGACAGUGUUUAUGGAUCAUUUUGUAUCAAAACCGCAAGUGACAUGGAACAUUUUGUCAUUAGAUGAGCUAGUUUAUCACGAAAACACCUUAAAAACAUACACAAAUUCAUACGUCAUUACACACACAGUGAAAUGAAACCAUACAUUAAUGUUCACGUAGGCAAAAAACUAAAUUAAGUUGUCAAAAUUGCUUUUCCCAAAUGAUAAAUUAGUUUUUUUGACAUUCUAUUAACAAAAAAGGAAACAAGGUUACACCCAGUUCUGCAUCGUUCAGUUCAUAAUUCUAAUCAGCGGCUCAUACAGUUGAUAUACUAUACCUCAUCCCCCCAUGGCGGCAAUUAUCACCAAACUCCCAAGAUCAACAUCCCAGCACACACACACUUGUAAACACGCGUACACACACCAGCCACAUCAUUUUUGUCCCUCCAAUUAGAAUUUUUAAUAUCCCGGUCGGCGAUAAUGGAGAUUAAUGGCCAAUCGCCAUGGUGAAUUCCAACGUCAUCUAUUAUCAUUCCAGCCUUGGUCCCAGUCCGCUCUAAUUACAUCCUCAAAAUGCCCUCCGCGCCACAGCCCCCAGCACCCUAAGAUCAAUCAAUAAUUUUAAUUUUCGGAUGCCCCCCAACCCCGCUCCAAUCCCUGCCCUCGUCCUCUGCUUGUGCUCCUUUCUUCUUCUUCCAUGCGCGUUGAUUUGUUUCCAAAGAAAAUCAAACGCCGCUGAAUAAAGGCUUAUGGGGAAUUAAUUACCCAUCUCGUCUGUAGCUCCCUUUGAUUCCCUCGUUUGUUUGUCCGUUUGUUCGCUUGCUCAUCCCCCCUGUUUCUCUCUCGUGUCUGCUGUGUCUUUCCUCCCUCGCCCUCUCUCUGUCUGGCGCAUGGGGGGCGCUUUCCACUCUUUUCCCCCCUUCUUGCUGCGUAAUUAGCAUGCAGAUAUGCAUUGCCUUAUUCGCAAGUCAAAUCGCCUCGCCAUUUCCCCCUGUCUGUGUCUCUGCUCCAUUUUGGAGCUGUGAUUGUUCUUAUUCAAAUAGGCUGUCUGAUUUGGAUAACGCCCCCCUUCCAUCCAGUCCCCCCCCCCAAACACACGCACACAUACACACAGUGUAUGAUUUCUCUUUAUCUACACAUGACAGAGCUUUGACCAAUCUUUUCUUAUGCAUUGCUUUACUACCAAUCAUGCAAAACAGGUAAAACAUGACAAUCGUACACAUCUCCAAUCCUGUCCACUUCACAUCACCUCAGAUGUUCCUUUUUCCUCAUAUGUGCCAGCUAUACUCGCCAUAAUUCGUCUUUGUGGCGUCAAAACUACUUGCUUCAUUGGCACACAUUCAAUCAGACAAAAAUACUGUACAGUAUGUAUUUUGCACCCCCUCAAACACUACCCAAAUACAUUUCUCUCCCUCCCACUCUCUCUCUCUCUUUUCCUCACACAUGCUGAGCACGUCUGCUGCUACAGGAAGAUGUUUGCUCAGCACAUUUCAAUAUGAACAUCAUAAUACUCUAUCUCGCUGCCAUCCGUUUUCCUUGUCAUAAACCAACACGGGCCAGCAAUUUUUUUCUCUUUUCUUACUCCUGAAGACUGUGAGACAAAAAACAUUUUCCCCACUAAAACUCAAAUGUCAUCAGUGUGGAGAACAGUGAUUGAGGCGGGUUGCAACAUCUAUUUUUGAUGGCUAUAAGGAAAGAUAUGUGAAGAGAGUCAAUAUUUGACCCUUGGCACGUAGCAUUAAUGGAGGUCAUAUAGGAGGCCAGACCUCUAUCUUUCACCCUCAUUUUGCUUUAGGCUCUCAUACAUACUCAAAUAUCCCAUCAGUGCAUACAGGGAUGGUGAAACAUUAUAUUAUUGCCGUCCUUUACAGAUAAAGAUGAAGGAAUAUCUUUGCAAACACUAACAUUUUGGUACAUUCCAGCUCCAGUUCGUAGACCAAACACUCAAAUACACAGUAAGCAACAAGUGUCAAAGCGUAGGGGGAGGUUUCCCUGCGUAGUCAUGUCUUGGUAUUGUUGGCACAAGGCCAGCUUUGCCAUCUGUCUCCUCUCCCCCUUUCCCUGUCUCUCUUCCACCUCCUCCUCCUCCUCCUCCAAGCCAAUCUGCUCUACAUUUGCUAUCAUUACGUGCCUGCCAUCCUUAUGGCAUAUCAGAGGCAGGCGCCAGGCACCCUUUACCCCUCUCUCUCCUCCUCCUCCUCCUUACGCCCCUCUCUUCACGCCCCUAUUUCCGCGCCCACUUUGCCACAGAGUUCUCUAAAGGGUCCAGGUGGCAUCUUGCCCUGCUCCUUUUUUCUCAACGCCAGGACGGAAAACAAAGAAGCGGCGGCAAAGAGGACAAAAACAAAGCUCGGGAAUCAAGGACACACUCCUUUCCAUUACUUUUUCCACAUCCUGCUUGGAGUCUUCAGUGCUUCCUGUGCCCACAGGCUCGGUCUUGGUUUGUUGUUGUUGUUGUUGUUGAUGAUGAUUUCCAUGCUCCUCUCUCCUCUGGAUGCACCAAAAUGGCUGAGAAGAAAACCCUCUUGCAACCUUGGAACUUCCCUGGCACUAUUGAUGAGACCCUGGUACGUCUCACGUGCCCCACACACUCACUCACACACACAUGCAUGCAUACACACACAUACACAUACACAUCCACGUUGAUGCUGCAGAGUGUUGCUCUCAGAGCUCACUGCCACCUCGUCCGCCUGCUGCCUCGAAAGAACUGGGACUACCAUGGGAUCUACCAGAGACUCACUCACACGUACACACUCACACACACGCUGGAUUUAAUACGCACGUGCACUCGCCGGUCGUUUGAGGCUGCAGGAAAGUGAAUAAUCAAUUAAGUAUUGAUUUCUUGUAAGAUUUUGUAAAUUUCAAAGGCAAAGACAAAGAGGGUAGCUUAAGGAGAGCCGCCGCGAGCGAGAGGAGUCGCAAAUUAGCCAAUAAACACAGACGGGGGAAUAAACGAAGGUGAAUGAACGAGCCGCUCGUCACCGCAAUAUGCUUCUGUUCAUGUCUUGUUUCUCUAUUGUUUCUGCAUGCCCCUCCAGAUGAAUUAAUGCUGAACACGGCAAAGGUUUCCUGUGGAGACGAAGGGAUGGCGAUUGGGCGAGAGAGGGUUAAAAGCGAAAGCUGCAAGAGGAGAGAGAGAGAGAGUGACUGGAGGACUUGGUAAUUAGGCAGUCGCCAACACACGGCUCAUCAGUAUGCGGAGUAUGCAAAUUGGCCGGCUGCCUCUUUCUUUUUUGUCAUGGAUCAGAAGGCAAGAGCUGCAGAGAAGAAUUAAGAGCUAUUAUUCUACCCAAGGAGAGGCUGAUAUAUGCAAACGAGGCGGAGAGGGGGAGGAAGAGGAGGAGGAGGAGGAGGAGAGCAAAGAACACACUUUAACCACAGAGAUAUACAAUGGGCUCCACAGCAAAGGAGAGUCAAAUGCAAUCACACAAAUACACUUUUAUUCCCCCUCACACCCCGGGAGAUUGUUUUACAUUUGCACUGGAAAUAGCGAAAGAGACAACGACAAUCAGACAUGCACCUUCAUUCUCCCAUUAUGGCUAUCUCCACAUAUUGAUAGGCUGCUCUCGCGGAUGAUAAUUACCUUUUGGAAUAUCGAGUCCCGAAACGAGCCUCGGGAUGAAGGAACAAGAAGAAAGGACAGAAAAAAAAAAGAAAAAAGAGCGGAGGUAUGCAAAGGCGCUAAUGAUAUUCAGAGCGCUGACUGUGUGUCAUCUGCAUGAUGACAACGGCCAAUUAUAAUGAACCAUUGGCUCCCCGCCACAGAUAAGUACAAGGGAGAAGGAUAUGGGUGAAGAGGAGGGGGAAGCCAAAGGAACUUCCCCGUCUCUUUCUUCUUAAUUCGCCGCCGAUAUUUGCCGAUUCUGUGUCGUGUGGAUUUACAGUAACGAUGAUGUUGAAAGAAAAAUGACAACCUUUCCUUGCAUUGUCCCUGAAAUGGAAUAAAGGCCGAAGAAGAUAAGAGGAUCCCUCCAUGUAGGAUUUAUGGUUGCUUGGUGUUGGUAUUCCAAUCGCCACGUUGAUCAACUGGCUUUGGUUCUGGUGGCACUCGCUCCCGUACCAACCAUCGCAAAGAAUCGGUUUGAAAACACACAAGUGUUCGCGCACACGGCGGCAUCAUUCACAGUCCCACCACAGUCUCCCUUUCCUCAUCACACUACAAAAUGCCUCCCAGUACCGUUUUGCAUAUUCGCAUGCCGCCCCGCCUGCCACAAAGGACUAAACAGCCGUAUGCAAAACAGGCUGGUAUCCCCACUUACAUAGUGAUGAGACGAACAGUGUGAGAAAGAGGAGGCGGGAGCUGAGA
rnacentral:lncRNA from 1 species